ACGGGAGGCAGCAGUGGGGAGUAUUGCACGAUGGGCGAAAGCCUGAUGCAGCAACGCCGCGUGAGUGAAGAAGUAUUUCGGUAUGUAAAGCUCUAUCGAUGGGGAAUAUAAUGAAGGUACCCAAGUAAGAAGCCCCGGCUAACUACGUGCCAGCAGCCGCGGUAAUACGUAGGGGGCAAGCGUUAUCCGGAUUUACUGGGUGUAAAGGGAGCGUAGACGGUUUGGCAAGUCUGAAGUGAAAUGCGGGGGCUCAACUCCUGAACUGCUUUGGAAACUGUCGAACUAGAGUGCAGGAGAGGUAAGUGGAAUUCCUAGUGUAGCGGUGAAAUGCGUAGAUAUUAGGAGGAACACCAGUGGCGAAGGCGGCUUACUGGACUGUAACUGACGUUGAGGCUCGAAAGCGUGGGGAGCAAACAGGAUUAGAUACCCUGGUA
rnacentral:rRNA from 1 species